UCAAACCUUUAACAGAAGCUUGUGUAGAAGAGUUGUCAAAACCCUUGUGUCCCUUUUGUGGGAUACUGCUUCAGAGAUUACAGCCAGAUUUUCUGCUUUCUGCAUCGCCAGUGUAAUUAAUAUGGGGUUGUUCCAUAUUUAGGAUUCUAUUAGAUUGACUAAUUGCUCAAUGUACAAUUAGUUUCUAAUUUAAUCUUAUUG
rnacentral:misc_RNA from 1 species